GACGAACGCUGGCGGCGUGCCUAAUACAUGCAAGUCGAACGCUGAAGGAGGAGCUUGCUUCUCUGGAUGAGUUGCGAACGGGUGAGUAACGCGUAGGUAACCUGCCUGGUAGCGGGGGAUAACUAUUGGAAACGAUAGCUAAUACCGCAUAAUAGUAGAUGUUGCAUGACAUUUGCUUAAAAGGUGCAAUUGCAUCACUACCAGAUGGACCUGCGUUGUAUUAGCUAGUUGGUGAGGUAACGGCUCACCAAGGCAACGAUACAUAGCCGACCUGAGAGGGGGAUCGGCCACACUGGGACUGAGACACGGCCCAGACUCCUACGGGAGGCAGCAGUAGGGAAUCCUCGGCAAUGGACGGAAGUCUGACCGAGCAACGCCGCGUGAGUGAAGAAGGGUUUCGGAUCGUAAAGCUCUGUUGUAAGAGAAGAACGAGUGUGAGAGUGGAAAGUUCACACUGUGACGGUAUCUUACCAGAAAGAGACGGCUAACUACGUG
rnacentral:rRNA from 1 species